rnacentral:lncRNA from 1 species
CAACAACACUUACUGUCUCCAUGAGUUUAAGUGCUUCGGUGUCUCUGGGCAUGCUCUAUAUGCCCAAGGUUUAUAUUAUAAUUUUUCAUCCAGAACAGAAUGUUCAAAAACGCAAGAGGAGCUUCAAGGCUGUGGUGACCGCUGCCACCAUGCAAAGCAAACUGAUCCAAAAGGGAAAUGACAGACCAAAUGGCGAAGUGAAAAGUGAACUCUGUGAGAGUCUUGAAACCAACAGUAAGUCAUCCGUAGACUUUCCGAUGGUCAAGAGCGGGAGCACUUCCUGAUAGAUCUUCCUCUACCAAGACGACAUAUAUCAGCUACAGCAAUCAUUCAAUCUGAAACAGGGAAAAGAUACAAUAUGGAGAAACGUGGUAGGCGAUGGUAAACCAUGAACAUGACACCGCCAACACUUACUCCUGGAGAUCUCUGUAGACUACAAUCAAUCAAAUCAAUAGUCAAUCUUGUAAGGAACAAACAGUAGCCACAUGCCAAAAGUAUCAAUAACAGGGAGUGAAUAAACCCAUUUUAUACAACACAACCAAUGAGUGUCAAGCUAAAGUAUUGCUUACUCAAGAGCAGUUAAAAAAAAAAAAUCACAAAAGGAAAACUAAUGUUAGCUUGUGAAAAAAAAUGCUGUUGAAAUAAACCAUGUCUGAUGUUAUUCUUGUAUUUUUCUGUGAUUGUGAGAACUCCCAUUCCUGUCCCACCUUGUUCAACUUGUAUAAGACAAUGAGUCUGUUUCUUGUAAUGGCUGACCGGAUUGAAGCCCUGGGUUGUGCUAAAAAUAAAUGCAAUGGUUGACGCAUGCAAUUUUUUAUACAAAUAAUUUAUUUCUAAUAAUAAAGGAAUGUUUUGCAAAUGUUGAGAGUUGUUUCGUUCCAGUUUUAAAGCCAGGGAAAACUUUUUUCCAGGUGGCACCUCUGUUGUUAUUUAACUCCUCUGUAAAAGCCCUGGUGUGCCAAGAAAAUUCUAUUUCCUCGAGGAAUGUGUUUUUGUACAUUUGCGUGUAUGUGAAGAAGAUUGUCUUUUAUUCCUAUAUGAAAAAGAAUUAUUUGUGUAAGAUUUUGUGAAUAUUUCAAGAUUUAUGUGGUAGCUUUUAAUAGUAACUGCUUCUUUUAUGAAGAAUCAAGCAGUAGCUUGAGGUCAAUUGCUUCAGGUAUCAUAAUUAACAAAUGAUGAGUUAAACUGGGGAGAAUAUAAUCUGAACAUCACUAUCUAAAAGUAUAUUCGAGUGUCACUAAAAUUCUCUAUUUUCUAGGUCAAACUUUGGCAUGAUGAAAUAUUCCAAGUAGUAGCUUUUUCUCACCUGGGCCUAGUAGCCACUGAAAUGAGUGAAGUGAUGGGCCUCACCCAAUACAUUCCUUAAAGCACAGAAUUAGCAUAUUUAUUCCCUGAGCUUCACUAAAGAAACCAAUUCAAAUAACAGGUCAGUGCUUUCUUAUUUUCCAAAUGAAAACAUUCAUUGGUUCAUAGGACAGAAUCAUUAAAGAGAGAGAAAGCAGGGAGUUUUUGUCAUGCUAAUAAACCAUGCUGGAAUGGCUAAAAAGGAGCCUGUUAAAGGCUUUCAAAUCUGCUACCAUUUUUGUCAUGGGCACCUCUAUUCUAUACAAUCCCAGACAUCCAUCAAGUCAAUGGGUCUCUACAAUCAUUUUGUUAGUACAUGUUCUCUCUGCUGCGUUAGCUUGGAUGGCUCAUUGCACUCCAUAUAGAUAUAAAAAGCUAUCUGUGCUCUGUAGCUUCAACCCAGAUAUUGGCAGUCACUUUAUUUAAUAGAAAGAGUUGAAGUAGCAUAGUUCACGCUCCUUCAAAAUUUAGUCAUGUUUCCUAGAUACCAACCCAGACAGAGAGCUGCAUACAGAAGGAAAUGUGUACUUACUGGCCUCUUGUUGAGUUUUUCCUAUUGUUGAGUUUUUGGUGUUUGCAAAUAAUAUUUAAAUCAAGAGAGAGUGUUAUUUUCAUGUUUUCAGAUCAUCUGAAUCACUGAUGAAUAUAAUCCUAUAAUUAGGAUUGUAAACCCACCUCUGGGUGUGCCUUUAUAGAUAAGACCUACUUUAAAACAAAAUAAACUGCAUAUUUACUAUGUU